rnacentral:rRNA from 1 species
UACGAAGGGGCUAGCGUUGCUCGGAAUUACUGGGCGUAAGCGCACGUAGGCGGCUUCUAAGUCGGGGUGAAUCCUGGAGCUCAACUCCAGAACUGCCUUCGAUACUGGAAGCUCGAGUCCGGGAGAGGUGAGUGGAACUGCGAGUGUAGAGGUGAAAUUCGUAGAUAUUCGCAAGAACACCAGUGGCGAAGGCGGCUCACUGGCCCGGUACUGACGCUGAGGUGCGAAAGCGUGGGGAGCAAACAGG